UACGUAGGUGGCAAGCGUUGUCCGGAUUUAUUGGGUUUAAAGGGUGCGUAGGCGGUCUAUUAAGUCAGUGGUGAAAUAUGGCAGCUUAACUGUCAAGGUGCCAUUGAUACUGAUGGACUUGAGUGAAGUCGAGGUUGGCGGAAUUGACGGUGUAGCGGUGAAUGCUUAGAUAUCCGCAGGAACAUCCGAGGCGAAAGCGGCUUGCUGGAUCGCAACUGACGCUGAGGGACGAAAGCUAGGGGAGCAAACAGG
rnacentral:rRNA from 1 species